CCUACGGGGGGCAGCAGUGGGGAAUAUUGGACAAUGGGGGGAACCCUGAUCCAGCCAUGCCGCGUGUGUGAAGAAGGCCCUCGGGUUGUAAAGCACUUUCAGUGAGGAAGAACGCCUGGUGGUUAAUACCCAUCAGGAAAGACAUCACUCACAGAAGAAGCACCGGCUAACUCCGUGCCAGCAGCCGCGGUAAUACGGAGGGGUGCGAGCGUUAAUCGGAAUUACUGGGCGUAAAGCGCGCGUAGGUGGCUUGAUAAGCCGGUUGUGAAAGCCCCGGGCUCAACCUGGGAACGGCAUCCGGAACUGUCAAGCUAGAGUGCAGGAGAGGAAGGUAGAAUUCCCGGUGUAGCGGUGAAAUGCGUAGAGAUCGGGAGGAAUACCAGUGGCGAAGGCGGCCUUCUGGACUGACACAGACACUGAGGUGCGAAAGCGUGGGUAGCAAACAGGAUUAGAUACCCUUGUAGUC
rnacentral:rRNA from 1 species